CCUACGGGUGGCAGCAGUGAGGAAUAUUGGUCAAUGGACGAGAGUCUGAACCAGCCAAGUAGCGUGAAGGAUGACUGCCCUAUGGGUUGUAAACUUCUUUUAUAUGGGAAUAAAAUGUUCCACGUGUGGGUUUUUGUAUGUACCAUAUGAAUAAGGAUCGGCUAACUCCGGGCCAGCAGCCGCGGUAAUACGGAGGAUCCGAGCGUUACCCGGAUUUAUUGGGUUUAAAGGGAGCGUAGGUGGUUUGUUAAGUCAGUUGUGAAAGUUUGCGGCUCAACCGUAAAAUUGCAGUUGAAACUGGCAGUCUUGAGUGCAGUAGAGGUGAGCGGAAUUCGUGGUGUAGCGGUGAAAUGCUUAGAUAUCACGAAGAACUCCGAUGGCGAAGGCAGCUCACUGGACUGCAACUGACACUGAGGCUCGAAAGUGUGGGUAUCAAACAGGAUUAGAUACCCUUGUAGUC
rnacentral:rRNA from 1 species